rnacentral:rRNA from 1 species
AGUUAAAAAGCUCGUAGUUGAACUUGUGGGAAGCCAGUUGGGUCCACUUGAUUGUGCGACCUGAACAGGUUUCUCAUCCUCGUAGGGAAGGCAGCCGCCUUCAUUGGUGUGCUGACUGGACCUGCGUCCUUUACUGUGAAAAAUUAGAGUGUUCAAAGCAAGCAAUCGCUUGAAUACAUUAGCAUGGAAUAAUAAGAUAGGACUUCGGUCUAUUUUGUUGGUUGCCGCCCGAAGUAAUGAUUAAUAGGGAUAGUUGGGGGCAUUCAUAUUCAGUUGUCAGAGGUGAAAUUCUUGGAUUUACUGAAGAUGAACUACUGCGAAAGCAUCUGCCAAGGAUGUUUUCAUUAAUCAAGAACGAAAGUCAGGGGAUCGAAGAGGAUUAGAUUCCCUCGUAGUCUUGACCAUAAACUAUGCCGACUCAGGAUUGGUGGACGUUGUUUAUGACUCCAUCAGCACUGUAUGAAAAAUCAAAGUCUUUGGGUUCCGGGGGGAGUAUGGUCGCAAGGCUGAAACUUAAAGGAAUUGACGGAAGGGCACCACCA